rnacentral:snoRNA from 1 species
CAGCUAUGAUGAUAAUCCACUUCAGGUCCGUGUUUCUGAACCCUGAUAAUUAUCGAAGUCCUGAGCAA